AAUACAAGUAGCAUUCCCUUUUCAAAAAUUUCCUAUCCUCUUCCAAAUACUUAACACUUUUUCCACCUACCCAAAACCUCCUUCCAUCAAUUGGCAACAAUUGGUAGUUCAAAUAAAAAUGUGUAAAUUGUUGACUAACCCAUGAAUGAUCUUUAUUUUGUUUAGCAACAUCCCGAGCUUUAAAUUAUACGGCCUACUGCUUAUCCUUUCUCAAAUAUACCAACUCAACCAGAUUCAAUCGAUACCAUGAGUUUGAUUUAAAUACUGCUUCAUCCUCACAGUUGAAGAUUAAGUUUAUUCAUUGGGCGGAAAUUUCUACGUGCAAUCUGAUUGGUCUCUUGUAUGAGUUAUAUUUUUCUUUUAAAUGAUCGCGAUUUCCUUGAUUAAAUAUGAACCACAUUCAUGUCCAUGUAUUUGAUACCUUGACAGUAGUGAUGUCUUACUAUCACAUUUCUAAUGCAUGUUGAAUUUAUUUUCAUCGUAAAUUCUUCACGGCUGGAAAGGCAAGGUGUAUGCUAAGCAGAAAAACAUUCCUGGAAUGAAGAAAUAUCGUGGGAAAAACACCUACAUUUUAAGAUCCAUGAGGCCAUCUCCAGUGUAUCGCAGACCUGGUUAUGGGUAUGCAAAUACCAUAAACUUUAGAAACUUUGAUUUUGAUGAGUAUAAGUGAAAACAAAGUAUAUUUUCUGAUAUCAAACAGUAUUUUAUUUCAACCUUCAAAAGUUUCUGUCAAUUUGAAACCAUAUAUGCAUCCAUUAUGUGACAAUAUAUUUCUGCAAUCUUCACUUCCAUUCUUGCCCUUUUGAUUAUGCAUCCAUUUAUUUAUUUUUAUUUUGGAAUUUUCAUUCAAUGGAUCUUACUUUGAGCCAAAGCUACAUAUAUUGGUGACAGAUGCCUCUCAAGGAGAGAUAUUUGAUUGAAAUUUCUAAUCUGUUAGUCUCACACUUUAUAGUUUUUAACUUCAUUUUUCUGAAUGAGUUUAUACACAACAUGUAUUUAUGAUUUAUGUGCACUUGAUAUUCAAAAUGUAAUGGAUGCGUAUGCAAGUGUUGAUCAUUCAUGUCUUCCAUCAUAUUGAAAAUGAAUUCACAUGUGAUAGGAAUAGAGAGGAUAUACACAACUAGAGGAAGACAACAUUUGUUUGAUAUACAUCUAGAGGAAGCCAAUAUUUGUGUGAUAGGAACAUAUAUGAUAUUUACAACAAAAGAAAGACAACAUUUGUGUGAUAGGAAUAAAGAUGAUAUACACAACAUCAAGAAGACAAUACUUUGUUUGAUAAGAACACAAAUGAUAUAGACAACAAUAGGAAGCCAACAUUUGUUUGAUUCAAACACAAAUUAUAUAUACAACUAUAGGAAGAAUUAUUUCACUAUUUUUUAUUUUAGUGUCUUAAGGCUAAAUAUCAAGACAAUUCACAUGUCCUCUAAGUUCACAUUUUGAGAUCAUGUUGAAUUAUUAAACUUGGAGAACAAGUUAUUAAAUGUAAGGAUUUA